GAUGAACGCUGGCGGCGUGCCUAAUACAUGCAAGUCGAGCGAACGGACGAGAAGCUUGCUUCUCUGAUGUUAGCGGCGGACGGGUGAGUAACACGUGGAUAACCUACCUAUAAGACUGGGAUAACUUCGGGAAACCGGAGCUAAUACCGGAUGAUAUUUUGAACCGCAUGGUUCAAAAGUGAAAGACGGUCUUGCUGUCAUUUAUAGAUGGAUCCGCGCUGCAUUAGCUAGUUGGUAAGGUAACGGCUUACCAAGGCAACGAUGCAUAGCCGACCUGAGAGGGUGAUCGGCCACACUGGAACUGAGACACGGCCCAGACUCCGACGGGAGGCAGCAGUAGGGAAUCUUCCGCGAUGGGCGAAAGCCUGACGGAGCAACGCCGCGUGAGUGAUGAAGGUCUUCGGAUCGUAAAACUCUGUUAGUAGGGAAAAACAUAUGUGUAAGUACCUGUGCACAUCUUGACGGUACCUGAUCAGAAAGCCACGGCUAACUACGUG
rnacentral:rRNA from 1 species